CGGAAGGNUCAUUGUCGAUACCUGCAA
rnacentral:rRNA from 1 species